rnacentral:misc_RNA from 1 species
GUUAGAUUCAAUACUCUAAGAUUGCUGCAAUUAAGAAGCUCAAGAGGAAGCUUCCCUGAGAAUGAAUUAGAAGGCAACCAAAGGGUAGUCAAGCUCUCAAGGGCAGAAAUGGAUGGUGAAAUCUCACCAGAGAGAGACUUGUUGUCAAGUGAGAUUUCAGUCACUUUCCCAGAUGUGAGAUCGCAGGUAAUCCCAGAAAACAUGCAUGGAGAAUCUAAUUCUUUCCAAGAAUCCAAAACGUUCAAAGGGUCUUUCAGCUGUCUUUUGAAUUCAAGCAAGGCCUGGGUCUCAACAUUCGAGCCAAAAGAAAGCGGGAAAGCUGACAAGAAUAGGAAGAAAAGAAGUGAAAUGAAUUGCAAGGAAAGAAAACAGNNNNNNNNNNNUUGGGAAAUAGUAAAAGAAAAACAAAGAGCUUGCUAAAUUGCUCCUUCAAUUGUCGCCAUUGUUGCAUCCUUGGUGACGUUGGAACGUCAAUUCUGUCUUUAAC